rnacentral:misc_RNA from 1 species
CGCACGUGGAACGCCCGAUGGUUCCUGUGCUAUUUACCUUGAAAGAGGAAUUGCCUGUCCCGUUAUCAGCUCUCUAUCCAUCACCUCCUCGGACAGUGGAUGGACAAUGCAGUAGCCCAUGUGAUCCAUUCUUGCCUUGCCUCCUUACGAUCAAGGUCAUCAUGGGUCCUAGGGUGCUUACUCGAGCUCUUGGUUGCGGAAUGUCCCAAUGGAAUGUGGCCUCGUAGCCUCUGUGUCCGUGAGAAUGUUGCACCAAUCGAAUGACACUCAAUGCCACGCCAAUAGUGACGCUCGGGCCUUGUGCUCUUGAGUCAUGUGGCGGGAUUGUUGUCGUCAAUGGAUGCUACCUGGUUGAUCCUGCCAGUAGUCAUAUGUUUUGUCUCAAAGAUUAAGCCAUGCAUG